rnacentral:rRNA from 1 species
AUUGAACGCUGGCGGAAUGCUUUACACAUGCAAGUCGAACGGCAGCACGGACUUCGGUCUGGUGGCGAGUGGCGAACGGGUGAGUAAUGUAUCGGAACGUGCCCAGUCGUGGGGGAUAACGUAGUGAAAAUUACGCUAAUACCGCAUACGAUCUAUGGAUGAAAGCGGGGGAUCGCAAGACCUCGCGCGAUUGGAGCGGCCGAUAUCAGAUUAGGUAGUUGGUGGGGUAAAGGCCCACCAAGCCAACGAUCUGUAGCUGGUCUGAGAGGACAAACAGCCACACGGAAACUAAGACACGGUCCAGACUCCUACGGGAGGCAGCAGUGGGGAAUUUUGGACAAUGGGCGAAAGCCUGAUCCAGCCAUUCCGCGUGCAGGAUGAAGGCCCUCGGGUUGUAAACUGCUUUUGUACAGAACGAAAAGGUUUCUACUAAUACUAGGAGCUCAUGACGGUACUGUAAGAAUAAGCACCGGCUAACUACGUGCCAGCCGCCGCCGUAA